rnacentral:lncRNA from 1 species
CCCCUCCNGUCACGUGCGCCAGCCCCACCAAUGGGCGGCGGCGCUCUCCCCGCCGGCCCCCACCCCUCCAACGGCCGCCGGCGCGGGCGCGCGGGGCCUGGCGGGAGCGGCGCGCCGCUACUUAAGGCGCCGCGAGGGGUCACGCGGCCUUUCUGCGCUGGCGCUGCGGUAAGGCGGCAACGGCCGGCGGGGGCACCGCGGCGGGCGGGGGGAGCGGGGAGCCGCGCGGACCUUCCCUUCACAUCUUGCCCUCUCGGAGCCUGGCGGUGCCCGAGCAGUCAACACAGGGGGAUAGAGCACCUUCCCUCACAAAAACCCAGUGCGGAGCCGUCCCUCCGCCCUGCAUCCUGUCGUGAGGCACAAGCGGGCCCUCCCCCGCUCCCUCCCCUCGCCCUCCGCGACCGCUCCGCGCUGACCCCCCUCUCCGUCCGCAGGCCGCGGUGCGGGCCGCGCCGCCCCCGCCAUGGCGGCAGGGAGCGCCCCAGGUGCGCCGGGCCCCGCGCGGGGAGGCUGCAGGAGUCGCAGCAACAUAAUAUUUAA